UUCCCGUCCGCUCAGCUGUACUUAAGCCACUUGCCGGUCGGUUAGUAGUUGGGUGGGUGACCACCAGCGAAUCCCGACUGUCGUAUGUU
rnacentral:rRNA from 1 species